rnacentral:rRNA from 1 species
GAUGAACGCUAGCGGCAGGCCUAACACAUGCAAGUCGAGGGGUAACGUGAGUGCUUGCACUUGACGACGACCGGCGCACGGGUGCGUAACGCGUAUACAAUCUGCCUUGUACUGGGGGAUAGCCUUUGGAAACGAAGAUUAACACCCCAUAGUAAUUAAGAGUGGCAUCGCUUUUAAUUAAAGGUUACGGUACAAGAUGAGUAUGCGUCCUAUUAGUUAGUUGGGUAAGGUAACGGCUUACCAAGACUACGAUAGGUAGGGGGUCCUGAGAGGGAGAUCCCCCACACUGGUACUGAGACACGGACCAGACUCCUACGGGAGGCAGCAGUGAGGAAUAUUGGACAAU